ensembl:rRNA 5S_rRNA 5S ribosomal RNA
GGCCACAGCCAUAUCACCCUACAGCCCAAGACUGGUUGCCCACUGAAGCUAAGCAGGGUUGAGCCUGGUCAGUACCUGGAUGGGAGACCUCCUGGGAAAACUAGGUUGCUGUUGGAA